ensembl:lncRNA
CCCCAGGCCGGUGACUCAGCCUCUCUGGGCCUCCAGUUCCUCAGGAAGAGCCUUGCCAGGCUAACAUGCCUAUCUUUUAAGCGGUACCUGGCUAAGGAGGUGCAUUAUUGUAACUUGCACAGCUCAUGCCUCUGUGGACACACAUCACGUUCUGUGCCCCUCUGGAUAAUCGAGAAUCAGCGCUUCCUCUCCAGAGCCUUCUUCACUUCUCAAAAACUAAUACGAAAGGCAGAGAGACAGAAAGUGGGAGAGGCCCCGCGAGGGUGGUCUUCCAUCUGCUGGCUCACUCCCCAAAUGGCCGCGACCAGAGCUAGGAGCCUGGAACUCUAUCCAGGUCUCCCACGUGGGUGCAGGGGCCCAAGGACGGGCGCCAUCUUCAGCUGCUUUUCCAGGGAGCUGGACUGGAAGUGGAGCAGCUGGGACACAAACCGGCAUCCCAGACAGAAGCUCAACCUACACUGCGCCACAACGCUGGCCCCUUUGUCCUUUCUUUGGCCACGUCAGGUAAGAGCCACUGACUGUAGAUUGUGAAGUGGACAUAUUUUUCAUCUCUCCAGGGGCCACCACAGGUUAUUUGCCUAAAGAAACCAGAAGAUUCCCCCACCACUGCACCGUCUGCAGGUGGAUCCCACAGCAUGUUCCUGUUGUGUUAUGAUCACUGCACACCCCGGGUGUGCAAGCGAUUUUUAAAAACAGCAUUUUCUGUGUUUUAGUUAUCCCAGGAUUUAAAAAGACAAUUCCACGCUGCUAGUAGGAAAGCAGCCCCCAAGGGGAAAGGGUGGACCGGAAGGGGGCUCCGCCUGGAUCUUCUCCAGGUCCAGUCGUACUGUGGGGGGAGUCACCACGACACACAGUCUGCACCAUCUUCCAGAGUGAUUCCUUUAGCGUUCCCAGUGCAUUUUUUUGUCCUGCUCAGAAGGCUGGAGACUUUGCAGUAUAUUCCAAAGACGUGACAGCUCUCAGGAGCAGCUCACUUUCAUGAACGCCUUCUGACAUCCUCCUGCACUUAACCUGCCCCUGCUGGCCAACAUUUCAGUCCACGCCAGGAUUUGGCCUUAAAAAGAUACAUACACUCUGGCACGUGGCCAGGCUCACAUGUAAGAUAAGUUCCUAGAAGUGCAAUUUCUCGGUCCGAGGAUAUGUGCUUUCUUAAUUUCUACAACCGUCGCCCAGCGCCCCUCAAAAAGGUCAACACACACACGUCCACCAGCAGAGCUUGAGGGACACCGCCAGUGGCUGCUGUGUCCUCCCACGCCAGCGAGCGGGCAGUGUGUCAGGGAACGAAGGCGCAGGCGAGGUAAGGGGACUUUUAUGUGCGAAUCUGGGCUGGGGGUGGAGGUGCUGUCCCAGGCUGUCCCUGCAGCUCUCAUCAGCCUGGGUUUGAUAGGGGAGGUAAGCCAGAACCGUACAGCAAGAAGCAUUGUGCAAGCCAGUAUUUAUUUCUUGAGUGUGGGUAGAACUUAAAUAUGGUCAAAACAUGCUCUUCUUUUAAUUUACACAAACAAAUAUGUUCCCAGGCUCACACCUCCGGUGCCAAGUUUCUAGGGGAAACGAGAUUGUCCUGUGAGAUGAGAAACCACUAGAGAGAAUAUGUGAAUGGGAAAGCCGAUGGGAGUUAGCGCUGCACGCCCAGAACCAGCUACAGAGGAGCGGCUCUGUCCCGAUGGCAGAUAAACCUGCCAGCACUUGGAGCCAACGAGACGUGGAAACAGGUCAAGGCCAGAGGACGAGAGAGCUCCAGUUGUGAGGAGAAGGCGGCCUGCUCGGCUCGGCUCGGCUCAGCUCGGCUCGGACUCCUCCCUCCCAGCGGCAAGGCGUGCCCGGCGAGGGGCUGAUGAACCCAGGGAGAAGCAGCAAGGCCACGGUGAGUCGCCGUGCAGGGCUGUGUGCUAACAGAACACCAAGCGGCUUGAACGCGUUCCAAGCGAGGGGAUUAAAGCAGCAUGUUAUUUUGAGUGAUUGCUUAAUUUAUUGAGCUGCGGCUAGAUCUGUAAUGAAAUACAGCCCUUGUAACUGAUAACCUCCCGCUGCAAAGGAACCUCUGCAAUUAAGGGAUAUUUUCUGGAACGGCUGGGAAUUUUUAACCUCUGCGGUCGGGGUGUUCUGAGCACUCAUUUUCCAGGCAAGCUUUCUGUUUGUUUGUUUGUUUGUUUAAAGAGUGGCAGGCUGCUCUUAAUACAAGAAAAUGAGCAGCUUUUAUUUUAUCGAGUGCCCCGUGUGCCCCAAGCACUUUAUUUACAUUAUCUCUAAUUCCGACAAUAUCCCAGCAAAAUAACCCUAUUUCCUACCCUACAGAUGUCGGGUACAUUUCUGGAGGGGCUCUGUACAGGAUGGUAGCUGCCAGCUACCGUGUGGGACUAUCUAGGUGUCAAUGAGUUAAAAUGGAACACAUUUAAAAAUUCACCCCCAAAGUCGCCCCAGUCCUGAGUUCAAGCGCCCAACCGCUAUGCAAGAGUCCUUCAGAACAUUCAUGGAAAGUGGAAUUAAAAGGUGCUUGUUUGGAUGCAAAAACAUGUUUGUUUGUUUGUUUGUUUGCUUCAGAAACAUUGAAAUCCAUGCAUACAAGGAGCCUUCAAUAAGUUCAUGGGAGAGGCUGGCUGUGUGGCAUAGUAGGCUAAGCCUCUGCCUGUGGCACCGGCAUCCCAUAUGGGCACUGAUUCAAGUUCCGGCUGCUCCACUUCCAAUACAGCUCUCUGCUAUGGCCUGAGAAAGCAGAAAUGGCCCAAGUGCUUGGGCCACUGCACCCAAGUGGGAGACCUGGAAGAAGCUCCAGGCUCCUGGCUUCAGAUUGGCCCAGUUCCAGCCAUUGUGGCCAUUUGAGAAGUGAACCGGUGGAGGGAAGACCUUUCUCUCUCUCUCUCUCUGUAAUUCUACAUCUCAAAUAAAUAAAAUAAUUUAAAAA